rnacentral:tRNA from 1 species
GGGUCUUUAGCUCAGUUGGUAGAGCGCCACGUUUACACCGUGGAUGUCAUCGGUUCGAGCCCGGUAGGACCCA